GCCGGAAUGGUGGAAUUGGUAGACACGCACGUUUCAGGGGCGUGUGCUCGCAAGGGCAUGUGGGUUCGAGUCCCACUUCCGGCA
rnacentral:tRNA from 1 species